GAUGAACGCUGGCGGCGUGCCUAAUACAUGCAAGUCGAGCGAACAGACGAGGAGCUUGCUCCUCUGACGUUAGCGGCGGACGGGUGAGUAACACGUGGAUAACCUACCUAUAAGACUGGGAUAACUUCGGGAAACCGGAGCUAAUACCGGAUAAUAUAUUGAACCGCAUGGUUCAAUAGUGAAAGACGGUUUUGCUGUCACUUAUAGAUGGAUCCGCGCCGCAUUAGCUAGUUGGUAAGGUAACGGCUUACCAAGGCAACGAUGCGUAGCCGACCUGAGAGGGGGGUCGCCCACACGGGAACUGAGACACGGUCCAUGCUCCUACGGGAGGCAGCAGUAGGGAAUCUGCCGCAAUGGGCGAAAGCCUGACGGAGCAACGCCGCGUGAGUGAUGAAGGUCUUCGGAUCGUAAAACUCUGUUAUUAGGGAAGAACAAAUGUGUAAGUAACUAUGCACGUCUUGACGGUACCUAAUCAGAAAGCCACGGCUAACUACGUG
rnacentral:rRNA from 1 species